GCUGGGUAGCAGAUGAUUUGGGCAACCCACAUGGCUGUGACCUUCGCAAGAGACUGCCUCUCCCAAAAGGGAGCAGCAGCCUGACACUGAGGAGGCUGCAGGUAGGCCACCUGAAAUGACAGUC